CCCCCCCAAUUGUGAUGUCAUACAGAGACACUGGACGCUGUUGUUGGGACGUGACCCUGGGAGAUGCAGUCGUCCUGACUGAGACUCGCAGACCGUGAGCGAGCAGAAGGUUGUGUGUGUGUGUGUGUGUGUGUGUGUGUGUGUGUGUGUGUGUGUGAGACAUGGAGGAUCACGGACCUAACAGCCCCAUCACGCUGAUCAUCCGAGCGCCGAACCAAAAAUAUAACGACCAGCCAAUCAGCUGCUUCCUGCACUGGACUGUAGAGAAACUGAAGAAACACAUCACUAACGUUUACCCCAGCAGACCGCUGUCCCGAGAGCAGCGGCUCGUUUACUCUGGACGCCUGUUACAGGAUCACCAGCAGCUCCGGGACGUGCUCCGUCAGCAGGAAGACUAUCACAUGGUCCACCUGGUGUGUUCACCCCAGAACCCCUCUGCUGACCUUGGUGACCCCUCUUUGACCUCUGACCCCUGCUCUACAAAUGCUGCCUCUGCAAACUCCGCCUCCUCUGGCUCUCCGUCCAAUCAGAAUGACCCGGAUCCCUCCUUCACAGGAAGUAUAGACGGUGUUCGACACCGAGAAGCUCAGCAGCGGCCUGAGGCAGUGGUGUAUCCUGCGUCGCCCCCUGCUGGAUUUCCUCUCCACAGCGGUGCAUACACUCCUGUACAGAUGUUGUGGUGGCAGCGUGUGUACGCGCAGCAUUACUACAUGCACUAUCAGGCUGCAAUGGCUGCUGUGCAAGCCCCGCCCUCUCCAGUUAACCCUGGCCUGUCUGUCACUCCGGCUCCGCCCCCGGUUCCUGUAAACCCCGCCCCGUUGGAGCAACCGGCCAAUCAGAACCCUCAGAUGAACGCUCAGGGCGGGGCGGUGCAGAACGAGGACGAGCUGAACCGUGAUUGGCUGGACUGGCUGUACACGGUGUCGCGCGCCGCCGUCCUCCUCAGCAUCGUCUACUUCUACUCAUCCUUCAGUUGCCUGGUCAUGGUGUGCAGCGCCCUGCUGCUCGUCUACCUUCACCAGGCAGGAUGGUUCCCCUUCAGGUUGGGGCUGCAGAACCCUGGAGCAGCAGAACGGCCUCCAGCUGAGAACGACAGAAACCACAACCUGCAGGAAAUGGAGCGCCUUAUGGAUGAUGGGCUUGAGGAUGAUGACGGUAACAGCGAUGAUGAAGGCUCCGAUGCAGCUGCUGCUCCACGGCCAAGCUUCCUCACAUCCACCUGGUCCUUCAUCAGCACCUUCUUCACCUCGCUGGUUCCUGAGGGUCCGCCUCGCCCCGCUAGAUAAACACCACACACACACACACACACACACAUGCAUACACACACAGUGAACUUUGACCCCAUACAGACAGAAUAAACAAACAAACCAGCAGCCUUGUUGAUACUGAGUGAGUGAAGCUGGUCGAGGGUUUCAUCUCCGCCGCUGUUCGGCUCCUUAACCAGUCUGUCCCCCCCGACACGUCCUCCACCAUCCUUCAUGUUUCUGUUCAAUGAGACAGUGUUUUUGAUCCAACGGAUGAAACCAUGCAGUGUGUGGUGGAGGUGAGUUCCUCCUCUGGCCACCAGGAGGCGCCGUUUAGCUGCAACUGAAAACCCUUCAGCUCCAGUCUGAGGACAACCAGUGUCUGUGACCUGCUGGAGUUUGGAAGGAAAAGAGCCUCAUAGCAGUACUAGUGAUGUUUCCCAGAGAAAGGAGGCGCUCGUCCCUUCUUCCUGCUGUUGAAUCAGACCUGGGGAUCAACCUGCUCCGGAUUAAAACCCACAGAACUGCAGCGUUUAAUCCACAUUAGCACCGAGCUGAAGGAUCACACAGUCCUCUGUCUGUGUGGAGCGCAUGAGGAAGAGCUUUCAUCUGAGUCAUCAUCACUCUCAACCACUUUAGAUCAUCAUCAUCAUCAUCAUCAUCAUCCGAGUCUCAUCGUCUCCACCACAAACAUCUCGGUUACUGCAUCACUUCACCAUCGGAGCUUUUCUGCUCCACCAUAAAACCAACCGUUUGUUAGAGCUGAAAAACACCUGCA